UACGUAGGGGGCAAGCGUUGUCCGGAAUCAUUGGGCGUAAAGAGCGUGUAGGCGGCUCGAUAAGUCUGCUGUGAAAGUCCAGGGCUCAACCCGGGAAGUGCGUUGGAAACUGCGAGACUAGAGUCUCGGAGAGGAAGGUGGAAUUCCAGGUGUAGCGGUGAAAUGCGUAGAUAUCUGGAAGAACACCGGUGGCGAAGGCGGCCUUCUGGACGAUGACUGACGCUGAGACGCGAAAGCGUGGGGAGCAAACAGG
rnacentral:rRNA from 1 species